CACUCUGCAGCCCGGCCGGCGGCGCGGGGCCCGCAGUGCCCGCCGCGGCCCUUGCCCCCCGCAAGCCGCCGUGCGCACAGCCCCGCUGCGGGCCGCUCCGAGGGCCAGUCCGGGGCUUUGCUUCAGCUAAUUGAUUGUGUGCUUCGGAUGCUAAACCUGUUGAUCUCGUGAGUUGUCUGAGCCAAGACUGUUAAUUACCCAGCGGCCUGACCCCGCAGUCGCCCAGAGAUGCCAGGAAGUGUUCGCACUGGACCGGGGCAUUCUUGUCUGUGAUUUGGUGGUGUUGGUGGCGGGACUCUGCCCUCUCGGACCUGGAGCUGAACACGAUUGGCGUUUGGCGUUCCUGGAUUCUGGAUUCGCGUGUUCGGUCGUUGGCCGCAUUUUAUCCGACCCAAAGUUGCGAUUACCUGGAGGGUCUGACUAGAUCCUGGCGGAAAACUUCACGUCCAGUAGCUAAAUAGAAGGGAUGAGACCGCAAAGAAGCAUAACAUGAAUAGAUAAUCCAUCCAACCAAAGGCCGGGGGCAGCAGCGCGCCAGCAAGGACGGGCACCUUCCCUCCUCCCCCGCCCAGAAGCCCCGCGAAACCGAAGAUCUUCCCCCUAAAACACACACACCCAAGAUCCGUGCCAUCCAGCUGCCGCCGCUUGAUGAAUGGUUGGCUCACGCUGCCGGAGAUUACUUGCUGAACGGAAAAAAAAAAAAAAAAAAAAAGUUGGGAAUGAACUCCGAAGGCGACAGCUCCGCCGUGGACGGUGGCGCACCAAACGGAAGCCGGGUCCCGAGUGCCCGCGGGGAGCAAGCCCAGGAGCGCGGCGAGGACGGGGACGCGCAGCCGGCGAGCGAGGGAAGCCAGUUGUUAUCUUUGGUUAUCUAGCUGUAUGAGUGUAUUGGCCUUCAUAAAGCUAGAUAACCGAAAGUAAGAACUGCUUCAAGGUCGCCGCGAGCGGGACCGCCGCGCAGAGACCCUAGAAACCGAAAGGUCAGAGGCGCUUACUGAGUCUAAGUCCGUGAGUGUGUGUGUGCUGGGCUUGCUUCCUGCGUGCCGCGAGGCGGGGGCCUGGCCGGGGCGAGGGGGACCCUGCGUGUGCCGCGUGCUCCGUCUGCAGGCAGAAGUUUACAGUCCAGGCGCCCCCCACCCACCCACACCCCCCACACCCCCUUUGGAAAGCUGUUGUGGAGAUGUCUGGUGCCUCGCUUUAAAAAUGAUUCCAUCAUGGGUGGACAUGGGCAUUGCCUUCUGAGACCCCUCCCCACGCCUCCCCCCACCACUCCUCCCCAGCCCCCUACCCCCGAGUGUGAGGACCAGGGCUGCAAAACUGCUCUCCCUGUAUUUGGCUGUCAAAUGAUAUGAAAUCGGACUUUCAGAAAACUUUAUGCUGGAAGGUUAAUAAUUUAUGUCUACUGAGGACUUAGAGCUAGCAGGGAAAAAUGAAAAAAAAAAAAAAGCAAAGCCUGAUUUUUUUUUCUUCUAUUCAAAAUACAAGGACAGAUGCUUCUGUGUUCCGAGAGGGUUUCCUUGAGGAACCUACUGAAGCAGAAAGACAUGAUGGAGACGAGAUCGCCUCCCCUCUUGUCAAAGUGUUAAAAAAAUGUUCUGUCUUACUCUGCGCCUAGCAUUGGAAAUGAAAGUGACAUUUACGCCACAACCCACGUGUGCGCCUCCUCUCUUUUUGUUUAAGGAUGAUCAGGCCUAUCCAGGAAACAGCUCUGGCAUCCCAAACUGAAAUAAUUAGGACGUAUAUAGACCUGACAAAAAUGGAAAGGGGGUGGGGAAUCCGAGGGUCUGUCUUGCCUAAUUGAUUCCGCUAAACGGCGUGCAGGAGAUGAGAACGGCAGGACGCUGCGAUUCCCACGCUCGGGGGCAAGUGGUAGAGCGAGCCGGCAGCCUAUGACAGACAGCCCUGUUGGGGGGUGGGAGUAUGAAAAAAAAGCAUCAAGUGCACACACCAUACUCAUCUCCAUCGCUUAAGAAAGUAAAGGCAUUUCCCACCCACAGCCAUCUGCAGCCUCCCACAUGGCAGCACCAACUGGCCUGUAGCUGGUGCACACUGUGUAUUUCUGUUAAUUUUUUUUUUUAAACCGCUGUGUGAUCUGGCCGUAAUGAAGUUUGGCUUGCUUCUUCGGGUGCGAUUUUCACUAUUUAAGGAAAGCUCGUAGAGAUGGAUUCCAAGAAAGUUCCAUCCGUGGGGCCUGCGUCCCUGGUGUCACAUGGGCAGUCUGUACCUGAGGCCCUUUAGGCUUUUGUUUUGGCUGGGUUCUAUUUUGAGAUACAGAUCUCCGUGUAAUAGUCAUCAGCACCACUCCCUCGGGCUGUUUACCUCUGCACGGGCCAGCACGGGCCACGGCUGAGACCUUGGCCUGGUUGUGCUGGUAGCUGUGCACUGGAGGCCAAACUCGCAAGUCCUCAGUCUGUAGGAAGUUGAUGACGACGACGGUAUGAGAAGAGGUUGCUUUGGAGUUAAGUGCCAGCUAGGUGAGCUCUAACAGCCAUCUUCAUUUAAUCUAAGAAUAACUGUGCCUAGCAGGAACUUUGGGGGUCUUUGGAGGUCUCCAUUGUGGUUUUUACUGAACGGCCUCAUGUUUUCCCACUUGUCACCGAGCAAACAUUUGUACAGGCGUUUACACAUCCAUACGGCCAUUGCCACUGGAAAAAAAAAAGUCCAAAACAGCCUGCUGGCUUCCACGUGGCCUAGACGACCGACCAUCCCCAAUCUAUGAUUUUUUUUUUUCUUCAAAGGAAGUGUAUUUUCCUUUGGGGCCUCGACUCCUUCUCAGACUUCACACUGGAGAAGCCGGUUAAAAACUCCAAGAGACUUGAUUAGUGUGAAUUCUCAAUUUGGCUGCUGAACACGUGCCAAAGUUUUACUGUGUAGUGACCGUUAAGAAGACAUUUGUUUAUUUACAUUUGAAGCACUGUUUGUGCAAACAACCUUUCAUUGUUAAGUGCCUGUAUUCCUUUCAUUUGCUUCAUGUCCAGGGGUGCUAUUUACCUAGAACCAUUGUCUACUACAAUUAACAUUUACAUUACAAAGUGUGUGGUUUUCUUUCUCAAGGAGGUUCAAUUAAGGCAAUAAGAUGUUUGCUGGGGAAACCUAUUGUUUACUGAAAGCACUCAAUGGAGUCAAAUUACUGAAGCUUUUGCCUACAUCUUGGUCUUUUAUGUAAAUAUGUUAACUACAACAUCUAAGGAAAAUAAACAAUAUUAUAAUUAUGUGUUUGCCAUUGUCAUAUCCAACUUGCUUUGUAUCAUACUAAUGUUGCAUAACUUACCAAUCAAUAAAAAUACAUUUCAAUGUUA